CAAAAGACCUCUAUGCCAAGCGGCGGGUCGGUGUUGGUGACGGCGGUGAUGCGACUGCCUAUCGGCCAGCGGCAGCGCCUCGGGACAUGGCGGCUGCCUCUGGGUGUCGGAGAGGAAUCGGUAACAGCAUCUGCCAAGCCUGCUGCUGCCUCCAAGGAGACGAUCCACCAGUUAAUUCUGGCACAUGAAGACUGUGGGAGCAACUCGUCAGACCUGCAUUGUGGAAUCUGGAAUCAGUAUUUUAAGUGAAAGGCAAAAAGUUCAGGCAGAGACAGAACAUACUGUUAUUAAUGUAUAUGCAGAUGUUGAUAUGUUAAACAAAAAAUCUAUGGGUUCUUUGCCUUCUGCCUCAGCGCUAGUCAGUAUGUUGGAAUUUAUCAAGAUGUUCCUGAGUGGUCCAUUUUAGAUUCUGGGGAAGAAGGAAGAGGCGCGCCUUGAAGGAUCAAUGUUUUACAAUGAUUUUGAAAGAGGGUGAUGACAGAAGGAAAAAGGCAUUAUCAGGAGAGAAAUCAUAAGGGGCAAACUGUAUUUUGAUGGCUAUUGAUUUGUUGAAUCGGCAGUGGAGGUCAGUUUGGGAGGAAAGGUCUGACCGGAAACAUUAGAGAAGACAGAAGGAUUCUCUGUGACGUUGAGACUUUCUACAGUCCCACAGUGGAGGAAAUGCCAGUGUGUCGGGCCGGCCGCCUUUAAUUCCUGAGAUGAUAGUUUCGAAUGCAGUGCUUGCUCUCGCUGAGUAUGUGAUAUCAUAACACGUGUCGUGCUGUUUUCUUUGGAACUAUUUCCGUCUCAUCUCAAUGCUCAUCGUGGAUCAGAAAUAUAGAUUUGAUAGCAAAGCAACUGUAGUCGUGAGCUCAUGUAAAGAAAGUCAUUUCCUCUUGAACCUUAGACUGUUGUGAUUAGGCAUAAAAUAUGGGGGUCUAUAAAAAUCUUUCUUAAAAAUGUAUUUCCUAGUUCUAUAAAAGUGGCUAAUUGGGUUCUCUGUCACUUACUAGUAAGUAUGUGCUGUGUAAACCAGCCAGUUGUGUGUGUCUGCCUUUAUUGUGUUAGCCAUUAGUCUGAAUAGAACAAACUUUAAAGUGAUGUUUUUAAGGAAGAUAUUUGGACUCAUUUUGUUUGAUGUUGUGUUUUUAUUUAGAAAAACAUUUUGGUAGCAUUAGCUGUGAACUGGAGCCUUUUGCUAAGUACCAGCAACAUUUAUGUCUUAGGAUUAAAUCCCAGAAAAAGUGCUCUGUAGUAUAUUGAAUGUUCAGUGAAUUGCAAUGAAAUUGCAAUAAAAAUACAUACAUAUUUAUACAUAUAUAUGUAUAAAUACAUAAAUACAUAUAUAUGUAUAUAUGUAUACACACAUAUAUAUAUGUAUGUAUUUUUAUUGCAAUUUCAUAUAUAUAUGAUUUGGUCUUUAUAUCUUAAAGAAUUGUACUUUUUUCCAUAACUCCUUAUUUUCAAAGGAAUGAGGAAUAAGAUGAAACAGCACUGCAUAGUAAACAGUUUAUCCUAGUUACAAAACUAUGUGCAAAUUUGACUUUCGAUGAAAAUACUUACUAGUUCUAAGUUAACUGCUGCUUGGCAACAGCAGGAAGAGCGAUGCUCCUGCAAUGCAGGUGUUCACAUGCACCAUCUGCAGGCAUUAUCUGUUUCUUACGAGAAAAGAGAAAUAUUUGAGUGUGAGAUUCCUCCCUCUCCUGUGGUGGCAAACAUUCCCUGGCACAUCCAAAGGAGCUGCUCACCAGCAAGGUCCUCUCUGUUAAUAGACUGAUAUUAACCACUGGAAUUCUUUUUCUCUGACAGUAACAUCGAGUAGUGUAUCAUAUGACAGAAGAUUGACAUUAAGUAUGGUCCUUUUUUUUAAAAAAAAAAAAAGCUUACUAUUUUAUUUGAGAGUCAGAGAGAGAGAAAGAGCUCACACCCACUGUUUCCCUCCCCAGAUGCCAACAACGGCUCUGACUGGGCUGUGGCCAAAGCUGGGAGACAGGAGCUCAGUCUACAUCAUGGGUGGCAUGGACACCCCUGCUUGAGCCAUCACCUGCUGUCCCCCAGAAUCUGCAUUAGAAAGUUGGAAUUGGGAGCCAGAGUUGGGACUCCAAUAUAGAUACUAUGGCAUGGGACACAAGCAUUGCAACCUGUGGCUUAAUCACUAGGCUAAAUGGCCACUUCAGAAAACUAUUAUUGUUUAGGGAAGUUUUAUGCUUACAGAAAAAUUAAGCAGGAAGUACAGGAAUUCACAUAUACUCUCUGUUCUGACUCAUGUGUAACAUCCACUACCAUCAAUAUAUUGCCCCAGUGGUGCCUUUAUUAUAGUCAUGAACUUGCCUUUAAAUAUCAUGACCACCCAAAGUCAUAGUCUAUGUUAGAGUUCAUUCUAUGAUUUUAGACAAAUUCAUGAUGAAUUGUGUCCACCACUAUAGUGUUACACAGAGGAGUUUCACUACCCUAAGAACCCUCCAGUCCCCUGUUUUCUGCCUAUUCACCCCUCCUUUCCCCAACCUUAGCAACCACUAAUCGUUGUGCUCUCUCCCUCGUAUGCCUUUUCCAGAAUGCCAUGUAGUUGGAAUCACAUAGUAGGUAGCCUUUCCAGAUUGUCUCUUUCCCUUAGUAAUACGGGAUUUCCAUUUCCCUGUCUUUUCACUUCUUUUUAGUGCUGAACAGUUACUCCACUGUCUGGAUGUACCUUUCCCUGUGCAGGGAAAGAGCACGAAAGACAAGUGCAGCCCACAGCAUGGGGCAGGCAGCAGUUUCUAACCACAGAUUCCGCAUCCAGACUCUGAAAUGGCUGUACUCUCUGGAGGGAAUGCCUUCUUGGAUGCAAACACCCAAAAGAAGGGCCGGCAUUUAGCCCAGCGGUUAAUAUGCCCACAGCCCGUAUCAGAGAACCUGGGUUCAAUUCCCAACUUCAGCUUCUGACUCCAGCUUCCUGCCUUUGCAAAUCCUGGGAAGCAGCAGUGAUGGCUCAAGUGAGUGGGUUCCUGCCACUCAUACCUAGACUGAGUUUUCAGCUCUUGUUUUUUGUUUUGUUUUGUUUGUUUUUUAACAGGCAGAGUUAGACAGUGAGAGAGAGAGACAGAGAGAAAGGUCUUCCUUCCGUUGGUUCACCCCCCA